rnacentral:rRNA from 1 species
UACGUAGGGUGCGAGCGUUAAUCGGAAUUACUGGGCGUAAAGCGUGCGCAGGCGGUUUUGUAAGCCGGAUGUGAAAUCCCCGGGCUUAACCUGGGAAUGGCAUUCGGGACUGCAAGGCUGGAGUGCGGCAGAGGAGACUGGAAUUCCUGGUGUAGCAGUGAAAUGCGUAGAUAUCAGGAGGAACACCGGUGGCGAAGGCGGCGACCUGGUCCUUGACUGACGCUGAGGCGCGAAAGCGUGGGGAGCAAACAGG